rnacentral:rRNA from 1 species
GACGAACGCUGGCGGCGUGCUUAACACAUGCAAGUCGAACGGAAAGGCCCUGCUUUUGUGGGGUGCUCGAGUGGCGAACGGGUGAGUAACACGUGAGUAACCUGCCCUUGACUUUGGGAUAACUUCAGGAAACUGGGGCUAAUACCGGAUAGGAGCUCCUGCUGCAUGGUGGGGGUUGGAAAGUUUCGGCGGUUGGGGAUGGACUCGCGGCUUAUCAGCUUGUUGGUGGGGUAGUGGCUUACCAAGGCGUUGACGGGUAGCCGGCCUGAGAGGGUGACCGGCCACAGUGGGACUGAGAUACGGCCCAGACUCCUACGGGAGGCAGGAGUGGGAAUAUUGCACAAUGGGCGGAAGCCUGAGGCAGCAACGCCGCGUGCGGGAUGACGGCCUUCGGGUUGUAAACCGCCUUCGCCUGUGACGAAGCGUGAGUGACGGUAAUGGGUAAAGAAGCACCGGCUAACUACGUG